GGGGACGUUUUGGAUUCGACAGGGCGGUUGACGGUCAUAGGCUGCGAGUCUGAGCGCUGUUCUCAGUAAAAACGAGCAAAAAAAUAAACGCUACAAACAAUGUUGUAGAUGCCAGAAAUGCUUUCAGUGCAAGAGCACUAAAAGCAGCUUAAUUUAGUUUAAGUAGGCCUCUCAUACAGUCCAGCUUGCCGAUUGUAUGGGACAAUUAUGCAAGUUGCGCUCAAAUGAUGAGAAUUAGUUUGAGUUAAGAUUUUUUCUCAAAGUGCGUAACACUAUAAUCUGCUUUGUUAUAUCUUAGGUUGUGGUUACUUCCUUGAUAUAUCGAGAUAAUAGCUAACCUACGCUCGUAGAUGUUUAUGAAAGUCCGUUUUGGACAGGGGUUCGAUUCCCCUCGUCUCCACCA
rnacentral:tmRNA from 1 species